rnacentral:tRNA from 1 species
GGCUCCUCUCUACUCCGUUGAAAACAUUACUACUCCACCGUUUAGUACUCGCCUGUUAACCGAAGGGUUGUAGGUUCGAGUCCUACCUGAGGAGCCA